UUCCAGGGCCGUACCACCCUGAACACACCCAAUCUCAUCUGAUCUCAGAAGCUAGGCAGGGGCUGGCUUGGUUAGUACUUGGGUGGGAGGAGAGUUGGUGCCUUAUUCU
rnacentral:rRNA from 1 species